UCUGUCUUCAUUUCAGCUCAACAAAGCGAGAGAGAGAAGUGACACCAGACAGAGAGAAAGAUGGAGAGACAGAGACAAAGAUGGAUAGGCCCACUCACGCCACAUGAGCUCAUUCAGGCAAGAUCCGCUCAUCGUCGCAGUAAUUCUCCUGGUUGAAACAGAGGCUUGGAGCUGGAAAGUUGAUGGAGCGUCUGGUGGACGGAUCGAUAGUCUUUGCUUUAGGAUGUUUUAACUCAUUGUAGUCUGUCUGUGUAUUUCAGGCCUACAGUAGAUGUUAAGGUCCCUGGUAUAUUUCAGGUCUACAGUAGAUGUUUAGGUCCCUGGUAUAUUUCAGGCCUACAGUAGAUGUUUAGGUCCCUGGUAUAUUUCAGGCCUACUGUAGAUGUUUAGGUCCCUGGUAUAUUUCAGGCCUACAGUAGAUGUUUAGGUCCCUGGUAUAUUUCAGGCCUACAGUAAAUGUUUAGGUCCCUGGUAUACUUCAGGCCUUCAGAAGAUGUUUAGGUCCCUUGUAUAUUUCAGGCCAAUUUUUUUUACCCUCCUCGUCAUCAACACAUGCUUCCAAGUGUAGUUGGUCAGAUUCUUAUCACACCGCUUUUUCAGCAUGGAAGCCUUUAAGCUGGUACUGUACAUGCAUGCUGUGGUAAGCAUUCCUAACUACACAUUUACAGUUCGCAGUCACCCAACCUUAACACAAGGAGUCACUAGAGCGCAACAUGACACGGCCGUCCCAUCUCUCCACCUGUCCCCUGUGGUGCUAUGCCAAUUUGUGCCACCCUAUGUUUGCAUGGACAGUUGUACUGUGAAGCAGUGACUUAGAACCACUAUGCCACACUGGUGUGCUCGGAGUGUAAUAGUAAGAUCACUUUAAAUGUCAUAGUAAGAUCACUAGAAAAUGGUCAACUAGUCGGUUUAGAAUGGCCUGACUUGAUCUGUCUUCAUCUGAGCAAUUUUAUUAAACACAUUGUCUGUGUACUUUGGAGGCUGAGAAAGGUGGGCGUGACCAGAUGAAGCCUGGCCAAAAGGGGGAUCCUCCUCUCCCAUCUCUUUAAUGUUUUACAUGUCACUGUUUCCUGGGGGUGGCCCUGACU